rnacentral:lncRNA from 1 species
UUCCCACCUAGUGGGGUCUGGGGGGGUAAGAUGUACGCAGUCCAUACCUCUACCUCUGAUGAAGUAGAAAGGUUGUUUCCGAUAGACCCCCGACUCAAGACACGAGAUACCACACAAAUACAUAGUAAAGCACAGAAGCAGAUUACAUGACAUAAAUACGGCACCCAUAAGUAAUAUAAAACAGAGGAAAGCAAAGAAAAGCACACAGAUUUGUAAUAAAACAUGGAACACGAAAGACGGAAUCAUAACAGGAAUAAAACCCCCACCAAGUAAUUCCGUACACUAGCGACCCAAACUGGCCCUAACCUUCUUUUUGGUUAAGAUAUUUCCCUUAACCUUCUUUUGUUUUCUGCUUUAGCUUUUUUCCACUUGUACCAGAGGAAGGGGGUACUGGCCUAAUGGGAGAUAAACACAAAGAUAUAGAUGUAACAAACUACAACGUACACCUUCAUCCCAAAAAAGAAAAAAAAUACACCUAAUACCAUCGUGGUGCUUAUAAAAAGAAUUCACUCCUCAUACAUCUAGAUCCAUUGUUCACUCUCAACCACCUCUGUAUCAUCCUAUCUCAACACAACUUAAUAGCACCUCUCAACUUGAACCCUGUAUAUCGAAUCUUCUACUCAUGCAGUAUGUUUGAACCAAAGAACAACUGGAACCAAUGUUCAGCCU